CACGUAGUUAGCCGUGACUUAUUCCUGGGUACCGUCCGUUCUCUUCCCCCAGAAAAGGAGGUUACGACCGAAGCCUUCAUCCUCCACGCGGCGUUGCUGCAUCAGGGUUUCCCCCCAUUGUGCAAUAUUCCUC
rnacentral:rRNA from 1 species